rnacentral:lncRNA from 1 species
AAAAAGCAUGCAAUUUUUUUUUAAGAAAGCAAACAAAAACCAAAAUAGAGAAAAACUAAAAACAAAACAAAGAAACAAAACAAAUAAAUGGUUCCCUCCCCCAUACUUAAAACAUACAUUGUCCUCAAUGAAAGAGCAUAAAUAUAAAAUAAGAGUGAGAGAAAGGAAAUAACACACUCGAGGAGUCGAGGCGGAUAAAUGAUUGCAUAAGCAGCCUUUCCUAAAGAGAGCUCUUCUAAAGUCUCUUCUUCCAAAGUCGGGUUCUCAUGGAGUAGCUUUGGGUAGUGUCCAUUGACCUUGAAAUUUUGAUUAGUGCAUUUGCCUUGUAUUCCAGGGUCAAAAAGUAUCUUCGAUAAGUAAAAGUGUUGAAUGGACACGUGAAAGUGAUCU